CCUACGGGAGACAGCAGUGAGGAAUAUUGGGCAAUGGACGGAAGUCUGAACCAGCCAUGCCGCGUGCAGGAAGACGGCUCUAUGAGUUGUAAACUGCUUUUGUACAAGGGUAAACCUGAAUACGUGUAUUCUGCUGAAUGUACUGUACGAAUAAGGAUCGGCUAACUCCGUGCCAGCAGCCGCGGUAAUACGGAGGAUCCAAGCGUUAUCCGGAUUUAUUGGGUUUAAAGGGUGCGUAGGCGGAUUGGUAAGUUAGAGGUGAAAUGUCCGGGCUUAACUCGGGAACUGCCUCUAAUACUGUUGAUCUAGAGGGUAGGUGCGGUAGGCGGAAUGUAUGGUGUAGCGGUGAAAUGCUUAGAGAUCAUACAGAACACCGAUUGCGAAGGCAGCUUACCAAGCUAUAUCUGACGUUGAGGCACGAAAGCGUGGGGAGCAAACAGGAUUAGAUACCCUAGUAGUC
rnacentral:rRNA from 1 species